rnacentral:rRNA from 1 species
CAGUUCGGAUUGCAGUCUGCAACCCGACUACAUGAAGCUGGAAUCGCUAGUAAUCGCGGACCAGAAUGCCGCGGUGAAUACGUUCCCGGGUCUUGUACACACCGCCCGUCACACCAUGGGAGUCGGAAAUGCCCGAAGUCUGUGACCCAACCUUAGGGAGGGAGCAGCCGAAGGCAGGUCGGAUGACUGGGGUGAAGUCGUAACAAGGUACC